rnacentral:rRNA from 1 species
AGUAGGAAUACCCGCUGAACUUAAGCAUAUCAAACGG